rnacentral:rRNA from 1 species
CAGCCGUAAACAAUGUGCGUUAGGUAUGUCGGUAACCACGUGUUACUGAUGUGCCGAAGAGAAAUCGUGAAACGCACCACCUGGGAAGUACGGUCGCAAGGCUGAAACUUAAAGGAGUUGGCGGGGGAGCACCACAACAGGUGGAGCCUCGCGGGUUUAAAUUUGGAUUCAACGCCGGACAUCUCACCGGAUAAGACAGCUGAAUGAUUGUCAAUCUGAAGGUUUUAACUAUGACUAGCUGAGAGGUGGUGCAUGGCGGUCAGUGACU